GCGGGGUGGGGUAGCCAGGAUAUCCCGUCGGGCUCAUAACCCGGAGAUCGAUGGUUCAAAUCCAUCCCCCGCU
rnacentral:tRNA from 1 species